UUAACUAUUAUAUAGUACUCAGACAUCACUGAUAAAAGGGUUUGGGUCCUCUGGCGGGCGCGGUCAGCCGGAGCCGACGCCUUGCAGACGGCCCGCCAAAGCAACAAAGGUAAAAUAAACACAGGGUGUAUGAUAUCUCCCUUCACGACCCGCGACAGGCUCUCACCUGCCUCGAACCGCUCCGGUUACAUUAAUGAUCCUUCCGCAGGUUCACCUACGGAAA
rnacentral:misc_RNA from 1 species